rnacentral:lncRNA from 1 species
CAAACCCUAAAGACCCCUGGAUUGGCGACGGUGGACCCCCUACGCCCACACCCUUCGUCGCUCUCUCUCUUUGAUUUGGUUCACCGACGAGCCAACAACACCAGCCGCACCCACCUGCCUUCUCUCUCUUUGUCCGGAGUGAUUCCGACGGUUAACCAGUGGGAUCCUUCCCCUCCGACGGUUGUCGUUGAUGAUGAUGAUGUUCACGACUGAUUCAGAAGAGAAAGGUUUCUAGUGACGGUGGCGAUGAUGAUUUCCGGCGAUCGUGGUUCGAGAUAAAACCUUCGGAUGGUGAUGAGGAUGUCGGGGAUGGUGAUAACCGGAGAAGAUAAUGAUGAGAUGACGACGCCGGGACUGUGACGGCAAGAAGCCCGAGCAGCAGACGUUCUGUGAUGUACUGGUCGAAUCGAGUCGUUAGGUAUUUUGGAUUUGGGAACUUGCUGUCUGGAGUAGCUGGAGUGGUCAUGGGUCGACAGGAAGGAUUUAUGUGAUUGAUUUCAUGAAACUAUACUUGGGUUUUGAAACAGUUUAACUUCGUUUAUUAUUUGCUUCCGCUGAACUUAUUGGUUUUCGUUUAAUACUUAUUGAAGAUGUUUU